rnacentral:rRNA from 1 species
GACAGAGGCCCCAAGCGUUAGGCGGAAUCACUGGGCGUAAAGCGCACGUAGGCGGAUUGUUAAGUCGGGGGUGAAAUCCUGGAGCUCAACUCCAGAACUGCCUUCGAUACUGGCGAUCUCGAGUUCGGGAGAGGUGAGUGGAACUGCGAGUGUAGAGGUGAAAUUCGUAGAUAUUCGCAAGAACACCAGUGGCGAAGGCGGCUCACUGGCCCGAUACUGACGCUGAGGUGCGAAAGCGUGGGGAGCAAACAGG